rnacentral:rRNA from 1 species
UGCGUAGGCGGCUUAUUAAGUCGGAUGUGAAAUCCCCGAGCUUAACUUGGGAAUUGCAUUCGAUACUGGUGAGCUAGAGUAUGGGAGAGGAUGGUAGAAUUCCAGGUGUAGCGGUGAAAUGCGUAGAGAUCUGGAGGAAUACCGAUGGCGAAGGCAGCCAUCUGGCCUAAUACUGACGCUGAGGCGCGAAAGCGUGGGGAGCAAACAGGAUUAGAUACCCGUGUA